UACGUAGGGGGCGAGCGUUGUCCGGAUUUAUUGGGCGUAAAGAGCGUGUAGGCGGCCAGGUAGGUCUGCUGUGAAAACUCGAGGCUCAACCUCGAGACGUCGGCGGAAACCAUCUGGCUAGAGUCCGGAAGAGGAGAGUGGAAUUCCUGGUGGUAGCGGUGAAACGCGCAGAUAUCAGGAGGAACACCAGCGGCGAAGGCGGCGCUCUGGGCCGGUACUGACGCUGAGGAGCG
rnacentral:rRNA from 1 species